CAGGCCUAACACAUGCAAGUCGAACGAACUCUUCGGAGUUAGUGGCGGACGGGUGAGUAACACGUGGGAACGUGCCUUUAGGUUCGGAAUAACUCAGGGAAACUUGUGCUAAUACCGAAUGUGCCCUUCGGGGGAAAGAUUUAUCGCCUUUAGAGCGGCCCGCGUCUGAUUAGCUAGUUGGUGAGGUAAAGGCUCACCAAGGCGACGAUCAGUAGCUGGUCUGAGAGGAUGAUCAGCACAUUGGGACUGAGACACGGCCCAAACUCCUACGGGAGGCAGCAGUGGGGAAUCUUGAGCAAUGGGCGAAAGCCUGACGCAGCCAUGCCGCGUGAAUGAUGAAGGUCUUAGGAUUGUAAAAUUCUUUCACCGGGGACGAUAAUGACGGUACCCGGAGAAGAAGCCCCGGCUAACUUCGUGCCAGCAGCCGCGGUAAUACGAAGGGGGCUAGCGUUGCUCGGAAUUACUGGGCGUAAAGGGAGCGUAGGCGGACAUUUAAGUCAGGGGUGAAAUCCCGGGGCUCAACCUCGGAAUUGCCUUUGAUACUGGGUGUCUUGAGUAUGAGAGAGGUGUGUGGAACUCCGAGUGUAGAGGUGAAAUUCGUAGAUAUUCGGAAGAACACCAGUGGCGAAGGCGACACACUGGCUCAUUA
rnacentral:rRNA from 1 species